rnacentral:rRNA from 1 species
UACAGAGGGUGCAAGCGUUAAUCGGAAUUACUGGGCGUAAAGCGAGCGUAGUCGGUUAUUUAAGUCGGGUGUGAUAGCCCCGGGCUCAACCUGGGAAUUGCAUUCGAUACUGUUUGGCUUGAGACCGGAAGAGGUUAGUGGAACUGCGAGUGUAGAGGUGAAAUUCGUAGAUAUUCGCAAGAACACCAGUGGCGAAGGCGGCUGACUGGUCCGGUUCUGACGCUGAGGCGCGAAAGCGUGGGGAGCAAACGGG